rnacentral:tmRNA from 1 species
GGGGCUGAUUCUGGAUUCGACGGGAUUUGCGAAACCCAAGGUGCAUGCCGAGGGGCGGUUGGCCUCGUAAAAAGCCGCAAAAAAUAGUCGCAAACGACGAAAACUACGCUUUAGCAGCUUAAUAACCUGCUUAGAGCCCUCUCUCCCUAGCCUCCGCUCUUAGGACGGGGAUCAAGAGAGGUCAAACCCAAAAGAGAUCGCGUGGAAGCCCUGCCUGGGGUUGAAGCGUUAAAACUUAAUCAGGCUAGUUUGUUAGUGGCGUGUCCGUCCGCAGCUGGCAAGCGAAUGUAAAGACUGACUAAGCAUGUAGUACCGAGGACGUAGGAAUUUCGGACGCGGG